AGCAGUAGCAAAGCUGUCCGUUUUGGUUUCUCACCGUGGAAGCUUUGUUCUUUUGGUCUUUUGUAAUAGGUCUUGCUGUUGCUCAGUGUUUGGGUCUACAUUACUUUUGGAGCUGUGGCACUCCGCGUGAAGGCUUGCAGCUUCACCCUUGAAGCCAGUGAGACCAUGAACCCACCAGGAGGAGUGAAGGCUGUCUUGUCUUAAGUAGUCCUACCGGCUGUAACGGUUGUUGUGAAAGUCUGUAUCCUCACUCGUGAGCCAGCAAGACCAUGAAUCAACUAGGAGGAAGAAACUCCGAACAUAUGCGAACAUCAGGAGGAACAAACUCUGGAUACGCUGCUUUUAAAAGUUGUAAUGCUCACUGAGCAGGUUUGCGGCUUCAUUCUUGAAGUCAGUGAGACCAAGAACCCACCAAUUCUGGACACAAAAUCUGUUUGCCUGUUUAGAGGCAUACUACGGGGUUACAUUAGAAGCCCACCGAGAUAAUCCAAUACAAUCUUCUGAUCUCAAAAUCCUUCACUUAAUGACAUCUUUGGCAACUUGAAAUAAUAAUCACAGGUGUCUGACUUUUAAGGUGAGAGAACUAAGUUGUGUGACUCCAAAAGAGCAGAAACCAGGAACUGGAGAAUGGAGGACCAAAGAUCAGAGAACAAACGUGUGUCCUCUUUCUCCCUGCCACACCAAGAGAAGCUAAAACCAGAAGAGGGAAGAAGAACAAAAGUGAAAGCAGAGGCCAGUUCUACUGUAGUCCUCCUCUCCAUAGAGGGUCCAGAGAGCCUAGGUCAGGCCUGAGCCUCUGAAGGGAAGGGGACCAGACUGGAGUUUAAAUCAAACUGGACUCCGUGUGUGCAUGUGUGUGAGCACAUUUGUAAAACUAUAACAUGAUGACUUUUCAGUGUAAAAAAUGGAACUGCAUGUCCCCUUCCAUGAAUGUAUCUUAUUCCUGUCUCUAUUAAUAUAGCAAAACUAUAAAAAGUGAGAUUAUAGCCUGAUGGUAUCUUGAUCUUAAAUCAUCUAUGUGGCUAAUCAUGAGGUUAAGGACUGUUAGAAAACCAAGAUGACUGUUGGAAUUUAAGCCCAAAAUUACUCCAGCUUUGCAGAUUGAGAUUUUUUUUUUUUUUUU
rnacentral:lncRNA from 1 species